rnacentral:tRNA from 1 species
AGGUUGUAUAGUGUAGUGGCAUCACUUGAGAUUCUGAUUCUCACAACCUGGGUUCGAUCCCCAGUGCGACCUAC